AAACAGCUCUGAGCUGCAUGAUUAUGAGAGCUGAGCCUCAGCUCCCACUUUGCUGUCAUCGUCAGCAUUCAUAAGCAGUGCUGAGAGGCGUUGGUGGUGAGAAUCAAGCCCUGGUGCAGCUCCAGGUGACUGCUGCCUUCUCCCAGAGCCUCAGCACACACUGCAUGAGUGUCACCAUGCAGUGGCUGCCAUCACUCUGCUGGAUAACCAGAGGUGUUACCAGGCUCGACACCUUCCACAUUGUCAUCUCCCAGUGACAGCACUGCUUUACUGAGCCUUUGCUCUGAGCUUCUCAGGGAAAGGCACCUCAGGCAGAGGGAUGCUGUGGAUUUUAGAGCUGCGAGUGUAUCCCAGGAGCCACAUCCCCGAGCCCUUCAGAAGCCUUCAUCAAAACUGUGGUGGAGCAAUCGAGGAGCAGAUUGGGACCUACCUUGCAGAGAAGAAAGGGGGAUGAGGAAUCUACUUACACCAUUAUAUUGACCUUCUGCUUUGAGUGUAAUAAAAAAUCUGGAGGAGAUCAAACUCUGACUCAUUUGGCACAGGAAAGCCAAGCAACCAUGCAGGACUGGAAACUUCUAGUUGCAAAUUAAGAGUGCCAUGACGGAUGUGACUAGUUGACAAGAGCUACAGACGAUGUUCAUUCCUACAAGUAGAGAAGAAAGUCUCUCCUGACUUCUGCAAGUCCUCUGCACUCUUCCUAAGAGUGGAAUUUGACUACAGUAUGAGCAGUGUUAAAUGUUACUCCGUGUGGAACUGCUUUUUCCAUGUAUUUACUUGGUGGUUUAUAUUUGCUUAAUGCACAUCUUUCAACGAGACAUUCAGACUUCAUUCAACGAUUGCUGGAAUUUCCUAUGUGUUCCAAAGCAUAAAAAUUACAUCUGUGUGUUGAGCCUUCCCUGCAAAAUUCCUCUGUGAUUCUCCUGUGCAAGUUUUGCAGACUUGAUGGGCUUAGUGGACAUAACUCUUGCAGGUUUUCAUUUGAUUGGGAAGUACUUUUGCAAGGCUUUAUGGAAAAGUCAGCUGGGUGUUUUGUCCUGCUCCCUCCCAGAAAAUGAAUGCACAUGUUGAAUGUCUCAUGAAGAAAUGGGGAUGAGACUUCCCUGCAAGGAAGAGGCUGUGGAGAAGCUCAAAUACUCCAGCCUUCAGCUACUACAGCCUUGAAUGGCACAGGAUGAGAUGUUGAGCAACACAGAGGCAGGAGAUCAUGGGAGGAAAAAACCUCUUUGUCCAGAUUACACCUGCAUUGAGAUAAGUUUUAAUGAUGAUUUUUUAGAGUGUAGAUGCCAGCUAAGUUCAAGCUAAUGCUGGUGAGAAACUACAGUAGGCAAUUCAAGGAGGCUAUAAAUUUUCCUAAAUUCAUUAGCUGCCUAUUGAGGGUGGAAGAGAACAUAACUAAAAAUAAUUACAUAUAAAUUAUGAAAUUCAAAUGGAAUGUGUUACUUUGCUCACGCAAAACUUCAAGGGAGACAAAUCAGAGAGGUUUAUUAGCAUAUUCUACUUUUCUAACAAACCUUACAAUGAAGGGAAAAUAUAAUAAUGUAAAGGAGUUGAAGAUUCAUGUUUCCAUAAUAGCUGUAUCUGCACAAUCCUACCUGUGAAAUUCAUUCUCUGUGGGUGGUGAUGCUGCUGAAUAGUUUUUUAUUUCACAGCCAUCUUUGUUUUUUCCCCUGUAAGUAGCUCUUUUGUUUAUAUCUAUUAACAUGCAAUCCUCUCCUGCCCAGAACUUUCUUCAGCUGCAUUACACCUGAGCCAGGGGUUUGGCGGGGAGCAAAGGGCAGCACGCAAAACUGAUCAUAAAUACACUCCCAAAAAAUUCAUUUUUAUUUGAGCUCAUUCAUUCUAAUUGUUCUCUUGAGGCUUGAUUUGGAGCACAGAGAAAUCCAAAGGGGACUCACUGGGCUGUGGGUCAGGUUUUCGGGUCACCUGUACAUGGCAAGUGGUGAAUAAUGAGCAGCACAGUGCCAGCCCCUUAGGCCUGACCCUGAGGAUGGAGUAGGAAUUCGGCCACGGAUCUCAUCAAGUGCAGUCUCAGGGAUGGAGGAGAGCACUGCUUCUGCAGCAAAAGGCAGUCACAGACCUGAAUGACCAGCAGGCUGCUGUGUCCCAGUAAUGCAGUUGACCGUGCCCUGAUUAACUGGUGCAAACUAUGCCCCUGAACAUUUUCUCUGUGGAAUUAGUGCUUUUGUUUAUGGCAAUGGUCCAAGAAGUUGUUAGAGUCACUGCUGGGACUUGAUAUGAUUACAGAUACAUUUCCAUGUUCAACUACAAAUACUGUGAUGGCUGGUUUGUCCCUUCCACUAGUGUAAACAGGUUAGGAUUAAUACACAUAUUUUGCAAACCAAUCUACAUGCAGUAAAAACUGUUUAGGUUGGAUUUUUUUUUCCUUUUUUUAUUUUUUGGGGUUUUUUUUAAUUGUUGUUGU